rnacentral:rRNA from 1 species
GGUCAAGCUACAAAGAGCUCACGGCGGAUACCUUGGCACACAGAGGCGAUGAAGGACGUGGUUACCUGCGAUAAGUCUCGGGGAGCUGGAAACACGCUUUGAUCCGGGAAUUUCCGAAUGGGGCAACCCCUAGAACGGCCAGCUGAAUCCAUAGGCUGGCGCGAGCCAACCCAGCG